rnacentral:rRNA from 1 species
UAAGGAAUAUUGCUCAAUGGGAGAAAUCCUGAAGCAGCAACGCCGCGUGGAGGAUGAAGGGUCUAUGACUUGUAAACUCCUGUAAAGAAGGAAAAAAUUCCCAUUUGAUGGGAGAUGAUGGUACUUCUGGAGUAAGCCCCGGCUAACUACGUGCCAGCAGCCGCGGUAAUACGUAGGGGGCAAGCGUUGUCCGGAUUUACUGGGUGUAAAGGGUGCUCAGGCGGAUUUGUAAGUCAGAGGUGAAAUCUUACAGCUUAACUGUGAAACUGCCUUUGAUACUGCAAGCCUAGAGUAUGGAAGAGAGUGAUGGAAUAUCUGGUGUAGCAGUGAAAUGCUUAGAUAUCAGAUAGAACACCAAUGGCGAAGGCAGUCACUUGGUCCAUUACUGACGCUAAAGCACGAAAGCGUGGGUAGCAAACA